GACGAACGCUGGCGGCGUGCCUAAUACAUGCAAGUAGAACGCUGAAGGAGGAGCUUGCUUCUCUGGAUGAGUUGCGAACGGGUGAGUAACGCGUAGGUAACCUGCCUGGCAGCGGGGGAUAACUAUUGGAAACGAUAGCUAAUACCGCAUAAUAUUGACUAUUGCAUGAUAGUCAAUUAAAAGGUGCAAUUGCAUCACUACCAGAUGGACCUGCGUUGUAUUAGCUAGUUGGUGAGGUAACGGCUCACCAAGGCGACGAUACAUAGCCGACCUGAGAGGGUGAUCGGCCACACUGGGACUGAGACACGGCCCAGACUCCUACGGGAGGCAGCAGUAGGGAAUCUUCGGCAAUGGACGGAAGUCUGACCGAGCAACGCCGCGUGAGUGAAGAAGGUUUUCGGAUCGUAAAGCUCUGUUGUAAGAGAAGAACGAGUGUGAGAGUGGAAAGUUCACACNGNGACGGU
rnacentral:rRNA from 1 species